ACACAUAAAACUUAUCCAUUUUGUUUGCUUGAAAACUACGAGCACAAGCUUAAAAAUCAACGGAUUUGGCGGCACUUUAAACCUCCUAGAGGAGCUUGUCCUGUAAUCGACAAUCCCCGCUAAACCUUACCUUCUUUAGCCUUCAGCCUAUAUACCGCCGUCGCCAGUCCACCCUUUGAAGACCUAAUAGUAGGCAAGAUCGGCCUUAGCCCAAAACGUCAGGUCAAGGUAUAGCAUACGAGAAGUGAAGAGAUGAGCUACAUUUCCUAUUUAGGGCCUACAGAAAAUCUUCUGAAAAAGAGAUUAAAAGCAGGAUUUAGCAGUAAGUAAAAAAUAGAGUGUUUUACUGAAGACAAAGUUAAAGCGCGCACACACCGCCCGUCGCUCUCUCCUAAUAUCAACUUAAAAUAUUAAUAAAUCCUUAAAUUAACUAAAGGGGAGAAAAGUCGUAACAUGGUAAGUAUACUGGAAAGUGUACUUGGUUAAACCAGAAUAUAGUUAAAAAA
rnacentral:rRNA from 1 species